GCGAGAACCGGGGCUUCGGCUCCGGGGAAAGCGGCGAACGGGUGAGUAACACGUGAGUAAUCCACCCUCGGUACCGGGAUAGCCCGGGGAAACUCGGAUUAAUACCGGAUGGCCCAGCAGCUCUUUCGGAGCGGCUGGAAAAGGUAGCUUCGGCCUCCGACCGAGGACGAGCUCGCGGCGGAUUAGCUUGUUGGUGGGGUAACGGCCUACCAAGGCGACGAUCCGUAGCUGGUCUGAGAGGACGAUCAGCCACACUGGGACUGAGACACGGCCCAGACUCCUACGGGAGGCAGCAGUGGGGAAUCUUGCGCAAUGGGCGAAAGCCUGACGCAGCGACGCCGCGUGCGGGAAGAAGGCCUUCAGGUUGUAAACCGCUUUCAGGAGGGACGAAGCCACUCGGGUUAACAGCCCAGAGGGUGACGGUACCUCCAGAAGAAGCCCCGGCUAACUACGUGCCAGCAGCCGCGGUAAUACGUAGGGGGCAAGCGUUG
rnacentral:rRNA from 1 species